GGAUGUGGCUCAAGUGGUAGCGGGCUCGCCUAGUGUGCGUGAGGCACUGGGUUCUAUUCUCAGCACCA
rnacentral:tRNA from 1 species